UACACAGGCACGCACAGUUGAGAAAUAAAGGCGAGCUCAUGCUGUAAAUAUUGCUUUUCAGUCUGCAUUUAAAGUAUUGUGGGGACACAUUCAGUUUGCUUUUAUGGUGUGUGGUCUGUGUCACACAUAGAGCACUAGCUAUGUGUAAACGGGAACUCUUGAAAUACUCCUAUGAAACUGCAGGGUUACAGGUUCAGUGCUUCAGUACAAACAUGUCCGAGGAAAAAGACGUCAGAAUUUCGCUGGAGCAGAGAAGUGAUUCGAAAGAUUACACAGCCGAUUGCUAAGGACAGAAAGUUCUUCUCGUCAUGAGGGACACAAAUAGGCUUGGAUGUCUAUCAGAUGCAACUGGAAACACUCCUCAAAAAGCCAUGCACUCUUAGUAAUGACUGCAAAGGAAGCUUCGUGUCUAGGGACAGUAAUGGAGCAGUAUCAUGAUGCCCACGGUUGUGGAGUCGUAUCUGGACGGACACAGAAGGUAAGCAAAUGUCCAUCCAAAGUCACGGCCUUUCUGUGCUACAGCUACCAAUAAUGGAAAGGAAGAAAGGAAGGGAGAGAGAGAGAGAGAGAGAGAGAGCCUAUUUACCGAGCUGUGGAGAAGACUCAGCUAACUUUCUAUUCUCUUUAUAAAACAAGAAUAUUUCAAAGUCAUAAGUGAGCAGAGUGUGCAGUCAAAAGACAAAAAAAGAGGAAAAAUACACAUGACUGUAAAUUAAUUUUUAAAAAGUCAUUUUUUUUUCUGAAUGUUGUGAUGCUUGUAGUAUUUUUGUCAGCUGUUUAAAGCUGCGUAAACUUUGUAGUUUCUUUCCUCCUUAUAAAUCAGUAUUCACCCAGGUCUAGCUUGUGUCUGUGGUUUGUGUUUUGGGGGGAGGCACUUUAAAGUUGUAUGAGCUUCGGGCUCAGCACGACUUGGUUCCACACCUGCGCCUGCAUAGUAACUGAAUGUUCAGGGCCUGCAGCCAAACUGCACAACUGAAAGUGCUUUGUCUGCGAUGCUGGGCAGGUUACUGUGCAUCUUUGGGCCUCAGUUUCCUCUUCUGUGACAUGGUGAUCAAAGACUAGAGGGCUACUGUGAUGAUUCGCUUCAACUGCCAAUUUGACGGGAUCUGGGAGCACUUGGGAGAUGGGCUUCUUGGCUUGCCUCAAUGCAGCAGGGGAGGACGUCAAAUUCCCUCAACAAGGGAUCAAAAACUGUCUAAAAUAGA
rnacentral:lncRNA from 1 species